UACAAGCUACAAUGUUCGUAUUUAAUUAAGUUUUAACCUCUAAUGAAUGUAUAGGGAGUUUUACAUCGAAAUUGGAAUGUCGCGCCGCCAAAGAAGCGGAAGACAGGAAGGUUUCUGCGAACACCCACUUUGCGAAGUGGUGGUUUAAAACUUUUUAUUACAAAAUACGGCAAUUGUGGCCUGUAU
rnacentral:other from 2 species